GAAUUCGAUGCGAUGCGAUGCGAUGCGAUGCGCACAUGCCGACAUGCUGUCCAGGUACAUCGCCGCGCCCCGCUAUCCCGUCCGGUUACAUCAACGGGCGGUCGACCGCAGAGAAUAACCAUCGCUUGAGUAGGACCGUCCGAUCGUCCCUCCCGAAUCCGGUCGUCGAUACCGCGGAGAAGCGUACAGCCACUCCCCGCUUGCUCCCCACAUCCUCGUCGGCUCGUCGCGCGUCCCCCACCGGCCUCCGCCUCCGCUUCGGCUCCUCCUGCUCCUCUCCCGCCGGACUCCGGCAGCGGCGCCUUCCCCGAUCCAGCUUCCAGCCUCAGCUGCCCAGCCAUUUCCACCGUGUGUCGCGCAACCGUGGUCUCCUACCUGCCACCUCCGCAGCUGUGGCCACUGACCGAUGGUCGCCUGAUUUGCCCCGCGCAGCGGAAUCCUCGAAUCCAAUGGAGAAGUCGUCGUUCGCGUCGGCGAGCUCCGGCGAGCUCACCGCCGCCGUUUACGGAGCAGGGAGGCCGGUGAGGGUGAUACCUCUGCGCCACCCACUGGAUGCGGCUGUGCGGGAGGCGGCCGCCUCCUCCUCUCCGUCACCGUUGUCGGCGGCGAUGGAGAGGGCGCGGGCGAUGGGGCCGUGGGAGUGGGCGGAGGCGGCUCUCCCGUGCUUGGCGUGGAUGCGGAGCUACAGAUGGAAGGAGGACUUCCAGGCCGACCUCGCCGCCGGCAUCACUGUCGGCGUCAUGCUUGUGCCUCAGGCAAUGUCAUAUGCAAAGCUGGCUGGGCUUCACCCAAUUUAUGGGCUCUACACAGGCUUUGUCCCACUAUUUGUCUACGCGAUUUUUGGGUCCUCACGACAAUUAGCAGUAGGUCCAGUGGCACUUGUCUCUCUGCUAGUGUCCAAUGUUCUUGGGGGUAUAGUUAAUUCAUCUAGUGAGCUGUACACGGAAUUAGCCAUAUUAUUGGCAUUCAUGGUUGGAAUACUGGAAUGCUUGAUGGCAUUGCUAAGACUUGGCUGGCUUAUUCGUUUCAUUAGCCAUUCUGUAAUAUCUGGAUUCACUACAGCUUCGGCCAUCGUAAUUGGUUUGUCCCAAAUCAAGUAUUUCUUGGGUUACAGUGUUACAAGAAGUAGCAAGAUUAUACCACUUAUUGAGAGUAUAAUUGCUGGAAUAGAUCAGUUCUCCUGGCCUCCAUUUGUAAUGGGAUCAGCGUUUCUUGUUAUUCUUCUAAUAAUGAAAAAGCUAGGGAAAACGAAUAAAAAAUUACGUUUCCUGAGAGCUUCUGGUCCACUAACAGCUGUUGUUCUUGGAACAUUGUUUGUGAAAAUUUUCCGUCCAACUGCCAUAUCAGUGGUAGGUGAAAUACCGCAAGGCCUUCCCAGUUUCUCCAUUCCUCGAGGAUUUGAACAUCUGAUGUCCCUAAUGCCAACUGCAAUACUUAUCACUGGUGUUGCUAUUUUGGAGUCUGUUGGGAUUGCUAAAGCGUUAGCUGCGAAGAAUGGUUAUGAGUUGGACUCAAACAAAGAGUUAUUUGGCCUUGGCUUAUCAAAUAUAUGCGGUUCAUUCUUCUCUGCAUAUCCUGCUACAGGCUCCUUUUCUAGGUCUGCUGUGAAUCAUGAAAGUGGGGCAAAGACUGGAUUAUCAGGAAUCAUAAUGGGCAUAAUAAUUUGCAGUGCUCUCUUGUUUAUGACACCAUUAUUUACUGAUAUACCUCAGUGUGCAUUGGCUGCCAUUGUGAUUUCUGCUGUCACUGGCCUGGUAGAUUAUGAAGAGGCCAUCUUCCUGUGGGGUAUUGAUAAGAAGGAUUUCUUUCUGUGGGCGAUGACAUUUACUACAACCUUAACUUUUGGCAUUGAGAUUGGUGUCCUUGUUGGGGUUGGGUUUUCGCUGGCAUUUGUGAUCCAUGAAUCUGCAAAUCCGCAUAUAGCUGUUUUGGGCCGUUUGCCUGGCACCACUGUGUACAGGAAUACAUUGCAGUACCCUGAGGCUUAUACAUACAACGGGAUUGUUGUUGUCCGUGUUGAUGCACCAAUCUACUUUGCUAACAUAAGUUACAUAAAGGACAGGUUGCGUGAGUAUGAGCUCAAACUCCCAAAUUCAAACCGUGGACCUGAUGUUGGAAGGGUGUACUUUGUGAUCCUCGAGAUGUCCCCUGUUACAUACAUCGACUCGAGCGCUGUUCAAGCUCUCAAGGACCUGCAUCAAGAAUACAAAACACGCGACAUCCAGAUUGCUAUAGCGAAUCCUAACCGGCAGGUGCACCUAUUGCUGUCAAGAGCGGGCAUCAUCGACAUGAUUGGCGCAGGGUGGUGUUUCGUCCGAGUGCACGACGCGGUGCAAGUAUGCCUCCAGCAUGUGCAGAGUUCAUCGUCGAAUGCCAUUAAGUUAUCCCCACAGGCGUCUGGGAACUUGACGGAGUCUCCCAAGGCGCAGCAGCGGUAUGGCUUCCUGAGGAACCUCUGGAAAGCACAAGAUGGGAAUGGGAGCGCCGGUGACGAGGCCCAGUCGUUGCUGCGCCAAAACCUUGUGUAGCCAAUUGUCUCCCUCCCUCAGUGCCAAUCAUGAUGCAUGCAUUUGUAUUUGUGUUGUUGUAUGCAUGUAGAUUGUGCAGGAAAAUAAAAGGAUGUAAUUUUGUCAAUCCCCCCUGUCUUGCUGUUAAUAGAGUGGGAAUUUAGGAUUCUGUUGUAAAAAUACAGUGUAGAUACGUCAGUCAUCUGUGUACGUAGCAUCUCUUGUCCAGUGACCACUUAUGUGUAUAAUAACAAUGUAAUCUGUAUCACAACUUCACGGAGUAGCGAUCUGGCUACCGUGAAGAAUUGAGAUUCUUGCAAAAGAAAAAAAAUGCCCGAUGAAUGUAUAUGCUGCUUCUGUUUCAGUU
rnacentral:rRNA from 1 species